rnacentral:misc_RNA from 1 species
UGCUGCGGAGGGUGCGCUCGGGGCUGACCACCGCCGUCGUCACCACGCCCGUCAGAGUGGCGUCCGGCGUCGUCGCCCGCGCCGUCAUGGUCAUCCUGGACACGCUGCUGCGGCUGAUGCCCGCCGUCGACGACACCGUCACGUCGUCCUCCAUCAUGCGCGGCUUCGGCUACGCCAUGGAGACGCACUUCGUGACGACGCAGGACGGCUACCGACUGUGCCUGGAGCGCGCCGCCAACCCGGGCCGGCAGCCCGUCUUCGUGGCGCACGGCAUGCAGACGGGCUCCCCCGCCUUCGUGAUGCUGGGUCGCGGCAAGGCCCUGGUGCCCAUGCUCCACGACGCGGGCUUCGACGUGUGGAUGAUCAACUUCCGCGGCACCCACUACUCGCAGGGGCACAACAAGUACAGCACGCAGGACGAGGAGUUUUGGAACUUCAGCUGGCACGAGCACGGCGUGUUCGACAACCCGGCCGCCAUCGACUACGUGUUGGCGCGGACCCGCUUCCCGUCCGUCAUGUACGCGGGCCACUCCAUGGGCUCCACGUCCUUCAUGGUGAUGGCGGCGGUGCGGCCCGAGUACCAGCGCAAGGUGCGCGCCGCCUUCCUCUUGGCGCCGGCCGGGCCGCUGCACCGCCACACCAGCCCCGUGGUCGGCCUGCUGUACGCCCUCAACAACGUGACGCAGCCCCUGGUGGAGACCCUGGGCCUGCGCCGCACCAUGCUGCCCACGUACCGCGUGCUCCGGCGCGCCAUCAAACUGCUCCUGCCCGUGGCGAGACCCUUCCUCUACAUGUUCACCUACGCCAUCGUGGGCUACAAGCACAACGAGAGCUACUACGAGACGCCACACUUCUGGGACACCAUCCCGAGCGGCGGCUCCUGGGGCGAGGUCUUCCACUACGUGCAGAACGCCAACUACGACUCCCAGGGCUUCCGGCAGUACGACCACGGCCCCAAGAGGAACCGCGAGCUGUACGGCACGCCGGAGCCCCCGCAAUACAACCUCACCGCCAUCCGGACGCCCGUGUACAUCUACCUCGCCAAGAACGACAUCCUGUGUCAGAAGGAGGACAUGCUCUACGUGCAGUCCCGCUUGCCAAACGUGGUGGGCGUGCACGUGGACGAGGACGACACUUUCAACCACAUAGACUUCUUCGCCUCCCCGACGGUCAGCGGCCGCAUGAACAGCCGCAUCGUCGCCGACAUGCUGCGGCACUCGGCCGAGUUCGCCGAUAAGGAUAACAAGGUGUGACUCAGGCGCACCUGGGCGACGAGGGGCAACACCUGGAGCACUCCUUCCUGAUUAGUCGAACUGUCACCGAGUUCCAUCAAAGUGUGAUCGAACCAAACAUCAGAUCACAUCUUCAUGAGAAAAGCGCGCUGGUGCUUUCCUUCAGCCUGACCGCGUGGCCGCGGCCGCCAACAGCACCAUCCCGACGGUAGCCCAGAGCCCCGGCGUCGCCGUGACCCCCGCACUCGACGAGCGCCCCGGGUCCAGCAUCAUGGCGGUCACGUCGUCCCAGAAGGCCAUGCGGUCCUGCGCGCCGAACGUGUUCUCGACGCGCACCUCGCGGAAGUCCCUGCCGAUGUACAGGUACGGCGGUCGCUGGCGGCGACCAGGCUGCGCGACGUCGGCGCCCUCCAGGAGUGGAACACGCCUGCGAGAGCAACGAGACAUUGCCAAAGACGCUAAAACGCAACCCUAGUCCGUAAGCACGUUUUUCUACAGUCAUUGUUAAAUUAUUGUUGUGAGCGUAAUAAAAUUUGUUUUUAAAACACCGCGUGACGGUGCAGCGGUGAUGGAAUGUGAAUGAGUGUUUACGCGUGACGGUGCAGCGAUGAUGGAAGGUGAAUGAGAUAACAUUGUUUGGUUUUCAAAU